rnacentral:rRNA from 1 species
UGGAUACUAUGUAUUUAGUAAUUGGAAUGAGUACAAUUUAAAUCCCCUUAACAAGUAACAAUUAGAGGGCAAGUCUGGUGCCAGCAGCCGCGGUAAUUCCAGCUCUAAUAGCGUAUAUUAAUAUUGUUGCAGUUAAAAAGCUCGUAGUUGAAAUUUGGAACUUUAUUAUAUUGGUUUACCUUUUGGUGAACUGUAUGAUGGGUUUCUUCCUACUAGAGUUCGAUUCUGUUCUUAACUGAAUGGAGUAGCUAUCUCUCGGGGUAGUCAAUUGGUUAUUAUAUCUCCACUAAUAAGCAGAGAGGAGUAAAAAUCUUCAAAGUAAGUUAUGUGGGUCAAGGUAUAAUGAUUAAUUGGAGUUCUAGUUCAUUUACUUUGAGAAAAAUUAGAGUGUUUAAAGCAGCCUCUUGGGGCACUGAAUACAUUAGCAUGGGAUAAUAAAAUAGGAUCUUCACAAUAUAUUUUAUUGGUUUAAAUUGGAUAUGAAGAUAAUGAUUAAUAGGG